GGGUUGAAGAGGUCCUCGGUCUCCUUCCAUGCUGUUCUAACUCCAAGUCUAUUUAUUACUGCACUCAAUUUCGGCAAGGCAUGAUCGUGGGGCGGCGUAGUGUUGCACUGACUUAUCUCGUAGCAUUUAAUAUCAUGGGAUGGUCUGAUAGGUGUUGCUCAAACGCGAAUGUGAUCGAUGACAGAUCGACGAACUAGGUUCAGGGAGGAACUGAGGUUCGGCGACUAGGUUUAGGAGGAACUGAGGUCAUGGUGAUCGAGGAUGUCAUGCAGGACAUUCAAGCUGGAAGAACAAUACAUAUGGAGAUAAGGUUUUGCGAUGGACACCGGAGGUGAUAUGAUCAUUAGAGGACGUGAAAAAUAAUUCGUGUUCGAGUCAGAGCAGUCACGAGGGAGUCAUAUGGUGGCUAGACUUGAGACAAGAGUUAGUGUUAGAGACGGACUCUAAGUUGGUUACAGACAUGCAUGUAUGCAUGGGAGAUGUUGCAUGCAUGAUUACGUGAGAGUUGUUGGCUAAUUAUCUUAAUUAGCGGAACUUAUUUGUCCUCUUGUGAUUAGAGGAGGAUAGAGACCAAGUUGAAUACGACUUAAAGUUGUAGUUCGAUUCGAUCACGUUUGUGCGUGUGGCUAUCCAAUAAAUAGAGAGGUUUGUUUUAUUGGGUGGACAACGCAGCAAAGAGAAAGAUUGAGAAAUCCUAGA